UAAUAAGUGUUUUAUGGCACUUUUUAAAUCCAUAUCCACCUUGUGUGCAAUGUCAGUCGAUCUUCUUCAUGGAGGUUGACCAAACAUCAACCUUUAUUUUUUAACUCUUUGUCUGAAAAAUAUUAUGAAUAAACAAUUCAAAAUA
rnacentral:misc_RNA from 1 species